UCCCCAUAUAGCACAAAAAGCAUAAAAUACUUGUUGCAUAUGUUUUGAAUCCUUUUGUUGAUUUUUUUUGUGAAAAAGAAGGUGAAAUAUUAUUAAAAAAUCAAUCGCUAGUUGGUGAUUGGUGUCCCAUACAUGAUGUGGCUGCCCAAAUACUUGUCCGAUAAACAGUUAGAAGAGCUUCUUUAUCAAGAAGAUAUCACCGAAACUAUGGCUGUUGACUCAGAAUGUGAAGGUGAUUCAGAUGCAGAAGACAAUAUGGCCAUUGUCAGUGACCAAAAACUUUAAAGUAUCCUUUAGGAACUCUAUAUUAGAAUCAGACCAGCAACUUCCUAAUGAUUCUAAGCAUAGCAGCUCAGAUUUUACUGUGCCUUCUUCGAAAAUACUAGAUAUGCCAUCUACAUCUUCGGAAAAUUCCAGUUUUUCACGACCAAAACGUCUCCAAAGAAAGAAAAUAUUUACUGAAGAUAAUUUUUUAGAAGAUUCGGAUGACUCCGUUGCAGACCCAGAUUACGAGCUGAUAGACCCAUCCAAGUACAAAAAACUUUUUACAGAAAUUUUGGAGUCUGAGAGCAGCGAAUCAGAAGAAGAAGUUACCAAAGUUAUUGAGCAAGAAAUUAGAUAAAGUUUUAAAACCAAGGACAAACCUGAAAAGAAAUUUGAAUGGACCAAAAAUACCGAAAUUCCAGAGAUGUAUAGUAAAGUUCAAUUUACCGAAAAUGUAGGACUAAACGGCUAUGACAUUGACAGUCCACUUUCAAUCUUUUUGAAAUUUCUUCCUGAUACCUUUCUCACAAAAAUAGUGGAUGAAAGUAAUCUAUACGCUCAACAAUUGCGCAAGAAUGACGAGUUUACAAAAAUUACACUAGCGGAGUUGAAAGCUUUUCUAGGAAUUUUGGUAUCUAUGGGAAUACACCCCCUACCCAGUAUAAAAUUAUACUGGUCAAAAGAUGAAAACUUUCAUGUAGAUCGAAUCGCAAGAGUUAUGACCUUGAAAAGGUUUUUAUUUAUUUUGAGACACCUACAUCUCAAUGACAAUACAAAAAUGCCUGCCAAAGGAACAGAUCAGUUUAAUAAACUCUACAAACUACGUCCUAUGAUUGACCAUCUUAAAACUACGUUUCCGAAAUGCUUUAAUUCUUCACGCAAUAUUUCUAUCGAUGAGUCUAUGAUAGGGUACAAAGGAAGGUCUAGUAUGAAACAGUAUAUGCCAAUGAAGCCCACCAAAAGGGGCUUUAAAGUUUGGACUUGUUGCUGCUCUGAAAGUGGGUAUCUGUUAAAUUUUGAUAUCUACACCGGAAAAAAUGAAGAUGGUACAGUAGCACAAAGCCUGGGAGAAAAGGGGUGUUGUGGCUAUCGGAACCUUAUGCUGGAAAAUAUUACUGUUUCUUGUUUGACAACUAUUUAUGUAGUAUUACUCUUCUUGAUGUUCUCCUUAGUAAAGAUUUAUCUGCGUGCGUCACCUUACGAGUAGAUAGAAAAUAUUACCCUAAAGAUAUUUUAAAACCUGAUAAAGAGUUACAAAAAUCAGAGUUUCAUUUCGCACAAUCUGGCAACAUCGGAAUAGUAAAAUGGAAGGAUCGCGGCACAAAAUCUGUAUGUGUUGCAUCCACAAUUCAUGAUCCUAGUGAAAAAACCACAGUUUUGCGACGUAACCAAAAAGGCGAAAAAAUUGAUGUGAAUUGUCCAACAAUGAUUUCUUAUUAUAAUAAAUAUAUGGGCGGAGUAGACUAUUUUGACCAAUACAUGUCAUUUUAUAAUAUGAAUCAUAAAUCUAGACGAUGGUGGAUCAAAAUAUUUUUAUACUUACUAGAAGCAUGUACUGUGAAUUCCUACAUACUUUAUAGGUUGUCAGCAAAAAUGCAAAAGAAAAAACCCAUAAGUCACUUGAAAUUUAGGUCCUUGCUUGUAAACCAACUCAUAAACAAUUUUUGCACCAAAAAAAAAGAAACAACCCUGAUGGUACGAAGACCGUACAAAAUACUGUCAGACUCACAAAUGUAGGCGAUCAUAUGCCCUCAACGAUCAAAACUUACAGAAGGUGCGCCCGCUGUAGUACAGAAGCCAAGGAGAAACGGAGCAAUAUAAUUUGCUCAACUUGUAAUGUCGGAUUAUGUAAAAAUUGUUUUACCCCUUUUCAUACGUCUUAUAUUUUGAGUUCGGUUCCUUAUUUGAAAUCCAUAAGUUUUAUAAAAUUUUUCAAAUAUAUAGCAAUGGAAGUUUUAGUUUAGUAUUUGCUUGUACGUACUUGAUAAUUUUUUGAUUACUUAUUCGAAUAAAAAUCAUUUUUU